CCUAUGGGUGGCAGCAGUGGGGAAUAUUGGGCAAUGGGCGCAAGCCUGACCCAGCAACGCCGCGUGAAGGAAGAAGGCUUUCGGGUUGUAAACUUCUUUUCUGGGGGACGAACAAAUGACGGUACCCCAGGAAUAAUCCACGGCUAACUACGUGCCAGCAGCCGCGGUAAUACGUAGGUGGCAAGCGUUAUCCGGAUUUAUUGGGUGUAAAGGGCGUGUAGGCGGGAAUGCAAGUCAGAUGUGAAAACUCAGGGCUCAACCCUGAGCCUGCAUUUGAAACUGUGUUUCUUGAGUGCUGGAGAGGCAAUCGGAAUGCCGGGUGUAGCGGCGAAAUGCGUAGAUAUACGGAGGAACACCAGUGGCGAAGGCGGAUUGCUGGACAGUAACUGACGCUGAGGCGCGAAAGCGUGGGGAGCAAACAGGAUUAGAUACCCGAGUAGUC
rnacentral:rRNA from 1 species